rnacentral:rRNA from 1 species
CAGCAGCCGCGGGAAUACGGAGGGUGCAAGCGUUAAUCGGAAUUACUGGGCGUAAAGCGCACGCAGGCGGUUUGUUAAGUCAGAUGUGAAAUCCCCGGGCUCAACCUGGGAACUGCAUCUGAUACUGGCAAGCUUGAGUCUCGUAGAGGGGGGUAGAAUUCCAGGUGUAGCGGUGAAAUGCGUAGAGAUCUGGAGGAAUACCGGUGGCGAAGGCGGCCCCCUGGACGAAGACUGACGCUCAGGUGCGAAAGCGUGGGGAGCAAACAGGAUUAGAUACCCCAGUAGUCCCUGUCUCUUAUAC